CAGAGCUUUCCUCGCCCGUCGCCUUCUCCUCUCCCAUUCCACCAAGCUGCCGCCCCGGCUCCUAUCUCUCUCUGACCCGGCGCCGUGCCCCAUCUUCUUUCAUUUCUCUCUCCCCGAUUGGACCUCUGCGCGCAUCUCCCGCCACCGCGCCGUCACGGUGGUCGGGGCCCGGAAGGAGGUGGCCUAGCGCCAUCACCAGCUACUUCGGAUCCGGAUUCUCUCGGGCUCCCCUCCCCUGCGUCCGUGCCUUUCUGCAGAAACGGCACUUUACUUCUGUGUUUCUUUCCGGGAGUAAUUAGUGGAGUACUAUGUGGAAACAAUAAAAGCUCCAGAGAUGAUGAAGAGAGCGUCUCACCUCUUCUUUGUGUCUCAGAAAAACAGCUUGCCAGAUUUUUUUUAACAAGAGCCUCAUGCCUCUGUUGAAAACCCCACUGAAUGCAACUUUAGUUGGAUAAGAUGGCAUCAAGACAGAUGAAAUGAAGAGCAGGCUGUGCCUGUAUUUCUUAUUCUGGCGCUCUCCGUCCCUUGGCCGACUUCACUGGAUCACAUUGGAGAACUUCCAUGGAUUCAUGAGCUGCAGUGCUAGCAGGAUAGAAGGUCAUAACAAUUGCAGGAAGAUUAUGCAACAUAUAGCAGGGUAAUUAGCUUAUCUACAAACCAGAAGUUCUCCUUGCGCUUGAAUAUCUUCACAUGCUGGGAGUCAUAUACCAUAAUAAGCCAGAGAAUAUCGAGUAUGUGAUAAUGGUCACGUCAUGCUAUCAGACUUUGAUCUCUUGCUAAGGACUUCCUUUAUGAGCUUCUGUAUGGUAGCCAAAGGCAGGGGGUGCACAUAUACAUUCUUGUAUGUUCAGUUGCUAUUAUGUUCCUGUUAAUAGAUCACGCAAUUCAAAGGAACAGUCCGAGCCCUUGACAUCAUUGUUUUUGCAUAAGGGCAACUUCCUGUUGGAAGAUCCACUAGAUUUCAUGAUCUGCUUCUGUUAUUGUGCAGUCAAACAUUGAUGAAGCAUGUAGAUCCUCUGUUUUGUUCUUUGUGCUAAAGAAAAAAAAUGUAUUACCACUCUU